AGCGAACGUUAGCGGCGCGCCUAACACAUGCAAGUCGCACGAGAAACGGAGCAAUCCGCGGUACAGUGGCGCACGGGUGAGUAACACGUGGAUGACCUUCCCUGGAGUGGUGGAUAACCUGGCCGAAAGGCGGGCUAAUACAGCAUGGGACCACGACGCUUUGGCGAUGUGGUGAAAGCGGGCCUCUAUAUAUAAGCUCGUGCUCCGGGACGGGUCCGCGUCCCAUCAGCUAGUUGGUGAGGUAACGGCUCACCAAGGCAACGACGGGUAGCUGGUCUGAGAGGAUGGCCAGCCACACUGGAACUGAGACACGGUCCAGACUCCUACGGGAGGCAGCAGUGGGGAAUCUUGCGCAAUGGGCGAAAGCCUGACGCAGCGACGCCGCGUGGGCG
rnacentral:rRNA from 1 species